rnacentral:rRNA from 1 species
GACGAACGCUGGCGGCGUGCUUAACACAUGCAAGUCGAGCGGUAAGGCCCUUUCGGGGGUACACGAGCGGCGAACGGGUGAGUAACACGUGGGUGACCUGCCCUCAGCUCUGGGAUAAGCCUGGGAAACCGGGUCUAAUACUGGAUAUGACUCCAUGACGCAUGUUGUGGGGUGGAAAGCCUUGUGCGGCCGAGGAUGGGCCCGCGGCCUAUCAGCUUGUUGGUGGGGUGAUGGCCUACCAAGGCGACGACGGGUAGCCGGCCUGAGAGGGCGACCGGCCACACUGGGACUGAGACACGGCCCAGACUCCUACGGGAGGCAGCAGUGGGGAAUCUUGCGCAAUGGGCGAAAGCCUGACGCAGCGACGCCGCGUGAGGGAUGACGGCCUGGUGUAACUCUUC